CUUUUUGUGCAUAAUGUAUAUAUAGGGGGGUGGUAGUACUCUUGGGGUAGAGAGGCAUGUGCUGGGAUGGCAUGCCAAGGCAUGUGCUGGGAUGGCAUGCCUUGGUGUGUGCUGGGAUGGCAUGCCAAGGACAAGCAUGUGCUAGGAAGGCAUGCCAAGGCCAAGGCCAAGGCAAGCACAUGCAUUGUGAGCGAGACGAGACGGUUACGAUUACCCCAAGAGUGCCCAAGGGAGAGGAAGGUGUCAAACGCAUGCUGAGCCCCACUUCGGUAGUUUGGCACCCCCAUAGGCAUUCAGGCAAGCGUGCCUAUGGGAGAAGUCGGUUGAGCUUGUCAGCCAUGUUGGGUAUUAUUGUCUGAACGAGAUGAUGGCACAAGGAUGCUUGCUUUAAGGUAACGUUCCGGCAGCACAGCCAGCCCGCAAUUGCUAGUUCAAGCGGGUGGAAUCUGCCAAUAGGGGUGUUGCUUGCUUGCUGUGAAUUUGGGACACGCCCAAUAUCUAUCAUCGACCCAACGAAGUGCUCAACAUGGGUUGCUGGGGGCUAUUUUGGCACUGACGGUUCACUUGUUUGCUUGGGUCUGAUAAACGUUUAGAUGUCAUGAUGCUUGGGAUCCAAUAAAUUUAUGUGGGAAGCUGAGAGCUGGAACCCAAUGUCAUUCACCAGACGGCUUAGCUUCGUCAGUGUGUAUAAUAUGUCAUUGAACCCCAAUCCUUGAUGCCAACCUGAUUAUGACUUUUGGAUCGCAAUUAUCAUGGCUAUCAAAAACUGAGUAGGAGUCAUGGAAUAAGUGAACAAUUUGUAGCCUUUAUAGCUGUCAGCUUUCGCAUCGCCCGGUGUGUUUUGGGAAUCGCUUUGUGCAUUUGGUUGCCUGCCGUGCCUCUUGGCAUAUGGUGGGUGCCAAUUGCUGGGUGGUUUUCGGAAACAUCCACCGUAAAGGUGCAUGAGUGGUGUUUGGUUUGUUACGGGUGGUUGGCUCUUUGCUUGCGCAACAACUGUCACCCGACUUACCUCUUCAGAUGUUUGCCUAGGCUUGUAUAGCCUAAGCAGAUUGUGGGUUUCCUGUGUUGCCUACCUACGUCAUGGAAUUGUCCCGAUCGAUCAAAGUUGCUUUCGUCUUGUGUCGUCUUGAUGGCAUAAGAUGAACCAUGUAGGUGUCUCUUUGCACCGCAUCGUUAAUGCAUGCGUUGAUGUUGUGGCCCAUUGAGCAUUGCUUGGUACCUUGGAUACGGAACCUUAUGUGGGCAUGGGGUCCUUGGGGAUCCUUGUUCUGCCCUCGUUUAGCGUUCGCGCUUCUCUAAGAAUGACUGCCUAGCCGGAAUGGAAACCCAUUGUGGAUGGGCAUCGUCAAAGAGGAAUGC
rnacentral:misc_RNA from 1 species